AUACCCAAGGAAUGAGUAAUUCUCAAAAAGGUGGCUUUGAAUUUGAGCUUCAUAUAGAAUCUUGAACAAAGAACAGUGCAUUUUUAGGGAUGUGACAAGAGACAAAGGAAAAGGACUUUAACUCUCGAUGGGUGGCAAUUUAUAAGAAGGCAAAUGACCAUCAGAUAAAUGCUGGAAUUGGAACUCCAUGAGGGAAGAAUUGUUUCUUAUUCAUUUUUGCACCCAUCUUCAAGCCCAGUGCUUGUAAUGUAUGUGACAUGCGCAUUUCAAGGGGCACAUGAGAAAGCCACCUGACUAGGCAGUGUGAUAGGAUUGCUGAUUUCUGCUGAUGGCCAUGCCUACCUUACUCUGGGAUUCUGGGAUUUUACAUUUGCAUGAAACAUCUCUCCUUGUGCUAACUCCUGAUUUGACUUGCAUGACAUCACCGAAGUGUUUCUAGUCAUCUAGAUCUCUUGGAAACUGGGGCCAUGAAUCAUCAAAAGACCUAUUGGACGCAUUUUGAGGAACUGGGUGCCUGUAUGGCCUGUCCUUGGCAGGGGCUCUGGGCUGGGAUGGAAGUCUCCCAUAUCCAUGUGUCUGGGCAAAAUGCAAAUGGCAGUAACCACAACCAGCUCCUUAUUUCUCACUGAUGCUGCUCACAGACCCAGCAGCCUUCACCCUGGAAGUAAUCCAGUGGUUUUGACAUGAACUCUGAGGUGGCACUUGGUUUUUCAAGAAAACUUCUCUGCUGCCAAGCCAAAUCUAUUCCGGAUGCUGGGACCCAUGAAGUGACCACCACCACAUGGAGCAGUUGAGACCCAC